UAUGCUUAAGGAGGGGCUUGCGACACAUUAGUUAGUUGGCAGGGUAAAGGCCUACCAAGACUAUGAUGUGUAGCUGGACUGAGAGGUUGAACAGCCACAUUGGGACUGAGACACGGCCCAAACUCCUACGGGAGGCAGCAGUAGGGAAUUUUCGGCAAUGGAGGAAACUCUGACCGAGCAACGCCGCGUGAACGAUGAAGUACCUCGGUAUGUAAAGUUCUUUUAUUAGGGAAGAAAAAAGAGUGGAAAAACUCCCUUGACGGUACUUAAUGAAUAAGCCCCGGCUAAUUAUGUGCCAGCAGCCGCGGUAAUACAUAAGGGGCGAGCGUUAUCCGGAAUUAUUGGGCGUAAAGGGUGCGUAGGCGGUUUAAUAAGUCUAUAGUUUAAUUUCAGUGCUUAACGCUGUUGUGCUAUAGAAACUGUUUUACUAGAGUGAGAUAGAGGCAAGCGGAAUUCCAUGUGUAGCGGUAAAAUGCGUAAAUAUAUGGAGGAACACCAGAGGCGUAGCCGGCUUGCUGGGUCUUUACUGACGCUGAGGCACGAAAGCGUGGGGAGCAAACAGGAUUAGAUACCCUGGUAGUCCACGCCGUAAACGAUGAGUACUAAGUGUCGGGUAAAACUGGUACUGAAGUUAACACAUUAAGUACUCCGCCUGAGUAGUACGUACGCAAGUAUGAAACUUAAAGGGAUUGACGGGACUCCGCACAAGCGGUGGAUCAUGUUGUUUAAUUCGAAGAUACACGAAAAACCUUACCAGGUCUUGACAUUUUCUUGCGAAAUUAUAGAAAUAUAAUGGAGGUUAUCAGGAAAACAGGUGGUGCAUGGUUGUCGUCAGCUCGUGUCGUGAGAUGUUAGGUUAAGUCCUAAAACGAGCGCAACCCUUGUCGUUAAUUGCCAGCAUGUAAUGAUGGGGACUUUAACGAGACUGCCAAUGAAAAAUUGGAGGAAGGUGGGGAUUACGUCAAAUCAUCAUGCCCCUUAUGAUCUGGGCUACAAACGUGAUACAAUGGUUGAUACAAAGAGUAGCUGAAACGCGAGUUCUUAGCCAAUCUCAAAAAAUCAAUCUCAGUUCGGAUUGAAGUCUGCAACUCGACUUCAUGAAGUUGGAAUCGCUAGUAAUCGCGAAUCAGCAUGUCGCGGUGAAUACGUUCACGGGGUUUGUACACACCGCCCGUCAAAUCACUAGU
rnacentral:rRNA from 1 species